UACGUAGGGUGCGAGCGUUAAUCGGAAUUACUGGGCGUAAAGCGUGCGCAGGCGGUUUUGUAAGUCGGAGGUGAAAUCCCCGGGCUUAACCUGGGAAUGGCAUUCGGGACUGCAAGGCUGGAGUGCGGCAGAGGAGACUGGAAUUCCUGGUGUAGCAGUGAAAUGCGUAGAUAUCAGGAGGAACACCGAUGGCGAAGGCAGGUCUCUGGGCUGACACUGACGCUCAUGCACGAAAGCGUGGGGAGCAAACAGG
rnacentral:rRNA from 1 species